CUAUCAUACAAUAAUUUAAUUUCGACCGAUCGUUUCUAUGACAGAUAUAAUACACGGUAUAUAGCUCCGAUGUUAGGAUUUUAUCAGGUUGGGAUUAUACCUAAACUUAUUGGAACCCAAUUUUGUCAAGAAAUAAUCGAAAACGUUUUCGGAUCGUUCAUUCCUAUAGGAGCUAUGUACAGUUUCCUACAUAUAUAAUGCUUCCAGUAGUUUACAUAAAAACGGACAGACGCUUUACAAUUGAUACUGAUCAAGAAUACAAGUACUUUAUGGGGUCGAAAAUGUCUUCUAUGCUACACAUUUCGAAAUGUUAUAAUUUGAAUAAUAUUUCAGAUUUUGAUUCCAGUUUUCUCCGUUUCAACCCAUAGGGCUACUAUAAAUAUUUCAACGGCCUAGCCCUUACCAAUAAGUCAGUCAAUAAAUAAUUCUGACAAACUCGUUUGGCUAUAGAUAAUUAAUAAAGGCUUCACCCGUAAAUCCCAUUAUAAAUAAUUUCAUACCUGUAUUGCAGGACCUGCACCUGGGUGAGAAUUCGCUUUAGACCAUUGGUGUUUAUCGCAGCUGUGGGACAAUCGAUUGCGCUGCAGCAAUUGGUUUUGACCGGCAAUAACUCCAUGAUAAUCAAAACCGAAUGCUGGGUAAGCUCCAAUUGCUGGACAUAUAUUUCACAAUAGCAUCGCUAGCCUGAGUGCUGGACACUUUGGGGGACGCUACGCAAGCUGUAUUUGCAGUCGAGAUCAAGCCAGACAGCUUUGCAGCUUGAGUAUCUGGACACACUGAACUUGUCGCACAGCAACCUCGAGUCUCUGGACGAGGAAGGCAUAUGGCAGCAGGGCAAUGUCGCGCCUGCGCAAACUCAAUCUGAGCGCCAACAGUCUGAAGCGUCUGCAUGCGCUGGCCUUCUCCUCGCUGCUCUAUUGUGGAAUACCUGUCGCUGGGCGAUCCAUCCACUGUGCUGGAGAGCCUGAGCAGCAUCGUGGAGUUACUCAUUAACAACAAGCUAACCUUCCUGCCGAAUCUAAAUGGUACGCUUGCCAACUUAAAGCAUGUGGCCAAUCCCUGAGGGCAAUCCCUGGCAGUGCGCCUGUUUCACGCAGCUGGAGCGUUGGCCAGGCUAAUCACGUUACCAACAAGGCCACUGGCUUCUACAGUGGCGAGAGGCCGCUGUACGUGGUCACAUUUGUCGAAUACUGUGUGCAGACACUGCCGAAAGAUCGACACCAAGAUGUUGUGAAUGAGUUCGAGGAGCAACUACUAUCAUGACGGUCCUUAGAUGGUAGCUCAGAUGAAGACUGAUUAAUGUGAUGAAUAAGUGUGGGAUGAAUAAAUGCAUUUUUGAUGA